rnacentral:rRNA from 1 species
GGAAUAUUGGACAAUGGGCGAAAGCCUGAUCCAGCGACGCCGCGUGUGUGAAGAAGGCCUGCGGGUUGUAAAGCACUUUCGAUGGGAACGAAAUGUGCCGGGCUAAUACCCCGGCAAGCUGACGUUACUCAAUGAAGAAGCACCGGCUAACUCCGUGCCAGCAGCCGCGGUAAUACGGAGGGUGCAAGCGUUAAUCGGGAUUACUGGGCGUAAAGCGCACGCAGGCGGCUUUUUAAGUCGGAUGUGAAAGCCCCGGGCUCAACCUGGGAAUUGCAUUCGAUACUGGGGAGCUAGAGUAUGUGAGAGGGGGGUAGAAUUCCAAGUGUAGCGGUGAAAUGCGUAGAGAUUUGGAGGAAUACCAGUGGCGAAGGCGGCCCCCUGGCACAAUACUGACGCUCAGGUGCGAAAGCGUGGGGAGCAAAC